UACGUAGGUGGCUAGCGUUGUCCGGAUUUACUGGGCGUAAAGAGCGCGCAGGCGGUCGUUCAAGUCGAGUGUGAAAGCCCCCGGCUCAACUGGGGAGGGUCACUCGAUACUGAUCGACUCGAAGGCAGGAGAGGGAAGCGGAAUUCCCGGUGUAGUGGUGAAAUGCGUAGAUAUCGGGGAGGAACACCAGUGGCGAAGGCGGCUACCUGGACCAGCACUGACACUCAGGCACGAAAGCGUGGGGAGCAAACAGG
rnacentral:rRNA from 1 species